CUGACUCGGUCUACAGUUUCUCUGAUGUUCUUGAGAGAUGUAAACAGGAAGAAGUUGCGAGCAAGGCAAGAUAUUUUGACAAGAUGAAAAGUGAAGCCGAGAAUUGCAGCUUAACGCAAGGUGAUAAACUCUGCAAUGAGAAAAAAUGGAGUUUGAGGGUGCAACUUAUACAAAGGCAUGUCCUUCAUUGCUUAAACUAGAAUGCUUGGCUUUUCUAGUCUGUGUUUUAGCACCUAUCUUAGUUGCUUUUUAAUGGCUGUGUACCUUCAAAGAAGGCAAUAACAAGAAGAAGCAGCAGAGCUCGUGGGAGGAAGAGAGCUGCACAAGAGAUUCCCCUGCCUUGAUAAUUUAGAUUUUGCAGAAGAAGAAUGGCUGAAGAACAACUUUACCAGCAGAUGUACCAGCUAGGAGAUGUGCUCAACGAAGCCACUG